rnacentral:misc_RNA from 1 species
GGCGGAUUCCAGCAGCCGCGGUAAUACGUUCCCGGGCCUUGUACACACCGCCCGUCACACCACGGGAGUGAGCAACACCCGAAGCUGGUGGCCUAACCCCUUUGGGGAGGGAGCCGUCGAAGGUGGGGCUCGUGACUGGGGUGAAGUCGUAGCAAGGUAGCCGUAGCGGAAGCUGCGGCUGGAUCACCUCCUUUCUAGGGAAGCUCCUCUCAGAGGAGCCGGAUCGGAAACGCUCCUGCCGGCGCCCACGUGCCUUCGUCGCACGUGGGAUGACCCGAGCAGGACACGGCCUAUCUGCCUGG